CACGUAGGGGCGAGCGUUGUCCGGAAUUACUGGGCGUAAAGGGCGCGCAGGCUGUUAUGCGAGUCUGCUGUGAAAUGUACCGGCUCAACCGGUGCCUUGCGGCGGAUACUGCAUAGCUGGAGUACUGGAGAGGGAAGUGGAAUUCCCGGUGUAGCGGUGGAAUGCGCAGAUAUCAGGAGGAACACCGGUGGCGAAGGCGGUUCUCUGGGCAUUACCUGACGCUGAGGUGCGAAAGCUAGGGGAGCGAACGGGAUUAGAUA
rnacentral:rRNA from 1 species